GGGUCUAUAGGUUAACCUAAUUGAUUCUAAUCAACCAAUUUGAUGUCUAAGACAAGUCUUAAAUGGUGGUACUUUAAUUGAUUCUGUUUUCUGUCCUGGCCAAUUUGUUGGUGUUUAAGGAAAGCAACAAGGGGAACCCCACUCAUCUUCACUUAGCCAUGUUGGGAGAUUAUGUUUUGAAUUAGGUUACUUGUUGACCCGAGUUCACACAUACUG
rnacentral:lncRNA from 1 species